AGCGAACGCUGGCGGCAGGCUUAACACAUGCCAGUCGAGCGGGCACUUUCGGGUGUCAGCGGCGGACGGGUGAGUAACGCGUGGGAACGUGCCCUCUGGUUCGGAAUAACUCAGGGAAACUUGAGCUAAUACCGGAUACGCCCUUUUGGGGAAAGGCUUGCUGCCGGAGGAUCGGCCCGCGUCUGAUUAGCUAGUUGGUGAGGUAACGGCUCACCAAGGCGACGAUCAGUAGCUGGUCUGAGAGGAUGAUCAGCCACACUGGGACUGAGACACGGCCCAGACUCCUACGGGAGGCAGCAGUGGGGAAUAUUGGACGAUGGGCGCAAGCCUGAUCCAGCCAUGCCGCGUGAGUGAUGAAGGCCUUAGGGUUGUAAAGCUCUUUUAUCCGGGACGAUAAUGACGGUACCGGAGGAAUAAGCCCCGGCUAACUUCGUG
rnacentral:rRNA from 1 species